GGCGCAGGUGGCCUGGCAAGUCAGAUGUAAAAGUUCUCGGCCUAACUGAGAAAGGUCAUCUGAUACUGUUAAGCUAGAGUGCAACAGAGGGAGGUAGAAUUCCCGGUGUAGUGGUGAAAUGUGUAGAUAUCGGGAGGAAUACCAGUGGCGAAGGCGGCCUCCUGGGUUGUAACUGACACUGAUGCCCGAAAGCGUGGGGAGCAAACAGGAUUAGAUACCCUGGUAGUCCACGCCGUAAACUAUGGACACUGGGUAUGGGGAGUAUCGACCCUCUCCGUGCCGAAGCCAACGCGUUAAGUGUCCCGUCUGGGAACUACGGCCGCAAGGUUAAA
rnacentral:rRNA from 1 species